GGACGUAAGGGUGAUCUAGCUGUGACAUCUGUCACUCCAUUGAUCUCCAGGGUUGAUUCAGCUGAUCUGGCUGGCUAGGUGGGUGUCCCCUUGCUCCCUCACCACUCCAUGUGUGUCCCUCCUGAAGCCCCAAGCUCGGUCAAAGAGGAUGACCUUCCCCAACAGAGGAGGGCCGUUUUUCGGUCAAGGGUAUAUGAGUGGCUGUGAUCCCCUGCUAGAGCCUCCAAACAAGCUCUCAAGAAUGCAUAUGCUAACAUGCAAAAUUAAACUGAUUUUAAAACAACCAAAGACCACAAAGAGCUAUCAAUAACAAGAAGCAAUUU
rnacentral:snRNA from 1 species